rnacentral:rRNA from 1 species
AUUGAACGCUGGCGGCAGGCCUAACACAUGCAAGUCGAGCGGAUGAAGGGAGCUUGCUCCUGGAUUCAGCGGCGGACGGGUGAGUAAUGCCUAGGAAUCUGCCUGGUAGUGGGGGAUAACGUCCGGAAACGGGCGCUAAUACCGCAUACGUCCUGAGGGAGAAAGUGGGGGAUCUUCGGACCUCACGCUAUCAGAUGAGCCUAGGUCGGAUUAGCUAGUUGGUGGGGUAAAGGCCUACCAAGGCGACGAUCCGUAACUGGUCUGAGAGGAUGAUCAGUCACACUGGAACUGAGACACGGUCCAGACUGCUACGGGAGGCAGCAGUGGGGAAUAUUGGACAAUGGGCGAAAGCCUGAUCCAGCUAUGCCGCGUGUGUGAAGAAGGUCUUCGGAUUGUAAAGCACUUUAAGUUGGGAGGAAGGGCAGUAAGUUAAUACCUUGCUGUUUUGACGUUACCAACAGAAUAAGCACCGGCUAACUUCGUG